UUGUUUGUUACGUCGGAUGUGAAAACCUGAGGCUCAACCUCAGGCCUGCAUUCGAUACGGGCAAACUAGAGUUUGGUAGGGGAGACUGGAAUUCCUGGUGUAGCGGUGGAAUGCGCAGAUAUCAGGAGGAACACCAAUGGCGAAGGCAGGUCUCUGGGCCAAUACUGACACUGAGGAGCGAAAGUCUGGGGAGCGAACAGGAUUAGAUACCCUGGUAGUCCAGACCGUAAACGGUGGGCACUAGUUGUGGGAACCUUCCACGGUUUCUGCGACGCAGCUAACGCAUUAAGUGCCCCGCCUGGGGAGUACGAUCGCAAGAUUAAAACUCAAAGGAAUUGACGGGGCCCCGCACAAGCAGCGGAGCAUGCGGCUUAAUUCGACGCAACGCGAAGAACCUUACCAAGGCUUGACAUAUAGGGAAAAGUGGCAGAGAUGUCAUGUCCGCAAGGGCCCUAUACAGGUGGUGCAUGGUUGUCGUCAGCUCGUGUCGUGAGAUGUUGGGUUAAGUCCCGCAACGAGCGCAACCCUCGUUCUGUGUUGCCAGCAUUUAGUUGGGGACUCACAGGAGACUGCCGGGGUUAACUCGGAGGAAGGUGGGGAUGACGUCAAAUCAUCAUGCCCCUUAUGUCUUGGGCUGCACGCAUGCUACAAUGGCCGGUACAGAGGGCUGCAAUACCGUAAGGUGGAGCGAAUCCCAAAAAGCCGGUCUCAGUUCGGAUUGAGGUCUGCAACUCGACCUCAUGAAGUUGGAGUUGCUAGUA
rnacentral:rRNA from 1 species